UGGAGGCGUUGGUCAAUGGGACAAUUGUGCACGGAAAUUUCGCCACAAGUCCCCCUGUAUCGCGGCAUGAAGCACAUCUUUUUUAUUAUUAUUAUUCAGAUACCGCGCUUGCAAUAAUUUUAGAAUAAAAUAUUGUCACUACGCUUCGCUUCGCUUUCUUAAAGCAUUAUUUUAAACGGCACUCAGUGUCCGGUCUUCCUCUUCAUCUGCCGCGUGGCGCGUGGAAGCUCCCAAAGUGUCAGCUAUGCGUGCCUACUCCGUGAUUGGGACCACACUGGUUAUUCUCAUCUCAACUUCGCACAGUUCAGGGUUCGACGUUGUUUUCCCGGAGACAGGGUGCCCAGAGCUUAAACAAGAACAAACUAGGGGUCCUAUUCAGCCACUGAGUGCGCCUCAACUGAAAGGAAUAGGCGAGUCCUGCAAAAUUACCACCGAAUGCCAACAAGGAUUGGGCUGCUUACAGCAGGACCAUGUCGACACUUGCCAGUGGAUGUCAUUGUUUGGUGAAAGCUGUUCACCUUAUCAGAUCAAAGGCGGUGUCUACAACGAGGAUGGUCCCUGCCUUAACGGGGAUGGCUACUGUAUAAAUGGAACAUGCAUCGCAUAGCAGUAUGCCCCUUUCGUAACAAAAGGCGUGCUCAAAAUGACAACAGCCGGAUUAUGACUAAAAUUACUAUUGAUAUCCCAUUGGAAUGGAAGCCUUCGCAAAUGGCCACGCAACCUGAUCGAGCUACGUUCGUUUUGCUAGAUUCGUUAACGCCUAGAAUAUGACGUAGGCCCGCUUUCUUCGGGUCAUACUGAGAAGACAUCUUGUCAUUUUAUUGCAAUGAACUCAGUCGCUUGUGGACUAUUCCUCCAGCCAGCUCAUCAUUCAUUCUCCCCAGUAAGAAUAUUUGCUUCUGGGUGCCCUUGUUCCUAGACAGGCACCUACAGCCUUAAAUAGGAUGGCUCUAUCCUUGUUGAUAUCAUGCUUAUUUCUUUCUUUUCAACUUUCUUUGCGUAUUUGCUCAUCUUGAACCGCUUUUUCGUUCUUUCCUGCAACUUCGUGUAGCCGGUCCUUCAUACGUAUUUCUGACCUUCUUGUCCAUGACUCCUGGUUCUUCGUUAACACUUGCAAUUAACCACUGCUCGAUUGUCGUAUUCCUUUGUGUCUUUCUCCAUGUCGAGCGCACAUUAUUGAGCUACAUAACCCCGCUCACAUCGACCACCCCCGCGUUUUCAUCAGCGUUCUCGAGCCUGUCUUCAAGGCUCAUUUCACGCUUCGAUUCUCUUAAUUUACAACAUACGAACUCCUUUCGUCCUUUGCUGCCUCGUUUGUGCUUUUACCAUAGACCCCGCAUACAGUCACCCCGCUGUCUUUUGGAGAACUUUCUAGUAAGAGCUCGGAUAGUAAACGCAGACUAGCAUUCGCUAAUCAUGUUACCGCUGGCGCCAUUGCUUCUAGCCAAACUAAUCUCAUAUACACUUGUAGAGCCAGCGUUAUCUAUAUUUCACUAUAGCUGCAUGAUCCGUGCUUUUCAUUCUCACACAAUAUUGCGAGAUGGUAAAAGGCAUUUCCUUAUUUGUAUACGUCGAGGCAUUUGUGUGGCUUCCCAUGAGUGUGAAUAAUAAAAUACUGGCCGCAUUUUCAUUAAAGACCAUAAUUGUCAAUUUCUCAGUGCUCAGUUACAUAUGUCGCUUCGCUGACAUUCAUAUUCGCCUCUCUCUGUACAUCUCGUACAUUGUCCGCUCGCAGGUCUCUCUCUCCGCUCACGGGCUCACAUAUGGACAUUCCGUUGCACCAUUUCCCAUUCACGCGUGCAGUUGUAGAAGUAUUCCCUCCUAUUUUGGGAUUACAGUAUGCGUUUAAUACAUACUACACUCUCCUUCAUCCAAUGCCUUCACUAUUUCCUUUUUUCAUAAUGUAUAUUCAUAAUGCCAGAUUGAUAAGCAGAGGGCUGCAACUGAGUAGCUAUCACUUUUCUUGUGUCAAUAAACUCUUGUGGUUAAA